GAUGAACGCUGGCGGCGUGCCUAAUACAUGCAAGUCGAGCGAACGGACGAGAAGCUUGCUUCUCUGAUGUUAGCGGCGGACGGGUGAGUAACACGUGGAUAACCUACCUAUAAGACUGGGAUAACUUCGGGAAACCGGAGCUAAUACCGGAUAAUAUUUUGAACCGCAUGGUUCAAAAGUGAAAGACGGUCUUGCUGUCACUUAUAGAUGGAUCCGCGCUGCAUUAGCUAGUUGGUAAGGUAACGGCUUACCAAGGCAACGAUGCAUAGCCGACCUGAGAGGGUGAUCGGCCACACUGGAACUGAGACACGGUCCAGACUCCUACGGGAGGCAGCAGUAGGGAAUCUUCCGCAAUGGGCGAAAGCCUGACGGAGCAACGCCGCGUGAGUGAUGAAGGUCUUCGGAUCGUAAAACUCUGUUAUUAGGGAAGAACAUAUGUGAAAGUAACUGUGCACAUCUUGACGGUACCAAAUCAGAAAGCCACGGCUAACUACGUG
rnacentral:rRNA from 1 species